rnacentral:rRNA from 1 species
AGCAGCCGCGGUAAUUCCAGCUCCAAUAGCGUAUAUUAAAGUUGUUGCAGUUAAAAAGCUCGUAGUUGAAUUUCGGGGUUCCACCGUUGGUCGGGCUAUUGUCUGUACUGGCGUGUGGAAUUUCUACCUUCUGGGGAACUAUCAUGUUAUUAAUUUAGCGUGGUAGGAAACCAGGACCUUUACCUUGAAAAAAUUAGAGUGUUCAAAGCAGGCUUAUGCCUGAAUACAUUAGCAUGGAAUAAUAAAAUAGGACGGUGGUCCUGUUUUGUUGGUUUCUGAAUCACCGUAAUGAUUAAUAGGGAUAGUUGGGGGCAUUAGUAUUCAAUUGUCAGAGGUGAAAUUCUUGGAUUUAUUGAAGACUAACUACUGCGAAAGCAUUUGCCAAGGAUGUUUUCAUUAAUCAAGAACGAAAGUUAGGGGAUCGAAGACGAUCAGAUACCGUCGUAGUCUUAACCAUAAACUAUGCCGACUAGGGAUCGGACGAUGUUAACUUUUCUUGACUCGUUCGGCGCCUUACGGG